rnacentral:misc_RNA from 1 species
GAUGAAGAACGUAGCGAAAUGCGAUAAGUAAUGCGAAUUGCAGAAUUCAGUGAGUCAUCGAAUCUUUGAACGCACAUUGCGCCCUGUGGUAUUCCGCAGGGCAUGCCUGUUCGAGCGUCAUUUCAACCCUCAAGCUCUGCUUGGUGUUGGGCCCUGCCCGCUGCGGCCGGCCCUAAAGACAGUGGCGGUGCCGCCUGGCCCUGAGCGUAGUACAUCUCUCGCUCCAGUGCCCGGUGGUAGCCUGCCAGAACCCCAACUCUCGUGGUUGACCUCGGAUCAGGUAGGGAUGCCCGCUGAACUUAAGCAUAUCAAUAAGCGGAGGA